CCUACGGGAGGCAGCAGUGAGGAAUAUUGGUCAAUGGACGAGAGUCUGAACCAGCCAAGUAGCGUGAAGGAUGACUGCCCUAUGGGUUGUAAACCUCUUUUAUAUGGGAAUAAAAUGUUCCACGUGUGGGCUUUUGUAUGUACCAUAUGAAUAAGGAUCGGCUAACUCCGUGCCAGCAGCCGCGGUAAUACGGAGGAUCCGAGCGUUAUCCGGAUUUAUUGGGUUUAAAGGGUGCGUAGGUGGAUUGUUAAGUCAGUUGUGAAAGUCUGCGGCUCAACCGUAAAAUUGCAGUUGAAACUGGCAGUCUUGAGUACAGUAGAGGUGGGCGGAAUGCGUGGUGUAGCGGUGAAAUGCUUAGAUAUCACGAAGAACUCCGAUUGCGAAGGCAGCUCACUGGACUGCAACUGACACUGAGGCUCGAAAGUGUGGGUAUCAAACAGGAUUAGAUACCCUUGUAGUC
rnacentral:rRNA from 1 species